rnacentral:sRNA from 1 species
CCGCAUUAGUGAUUGCAGCGGCAUCCUUUUUUAGGCCAAUGGGAAAGUAUUACAAACGGCUAUGAUCUUCUGGGUCUAAAAAAGAUAUAGUGGAAAGCACGGCCACUU